rnacentral:rRNA from 1 species
UUGGAGGGCAAGUCUGGUGCCAGCAGCCGCGGUAAUUCCAGCUCCAAUAGCGUAUAUUAAAGUUGUUGCAGUUAAAAAGCUCGUAGUUGAACUUCGGGGUUUACCCAUUGGUCAGGCUUAAUUGUCUGUACUGGUGAGAUAAAUCUCUACCUUCUGAGGAACUUUCAUGCCAUUUGUUUGGUGUGAUUGGAAAUCAGGACUAUUACUUUGAAAAAAUUAGAGUGUUUAAAGCAGGCUAACGUCUGAAUAUAUUAGCAUGGAAUAAUGAAAUAGGACGGCUUGGUUCUAUUUCGUUGGUUUCUAGGAUCACCGUAAUGAUUAAUAGGGAUAGUUGGGGGCAUUAGUAUUCAAUUGUCAGAGGUGAAAUUCUUGGAUUUAUUGAAGACUAACUACUGCGAAAGCAUUUGCCAAGGAUGUUUUCAUUAAUCAAGAACGAAAGUUAGGGGAUCGAAGACGAUCAGAUACCGUCGUAGUCUAACCAUAAACUAUGCCGACUAGGGAUCGGACGAAGUUAAUUUUAUAAUGACGCGUUCGGCGCCUUACGGGAAAC